AGAUGGCCAGAUGAUCGCAGUCCAUUUAUGGAAUGAGGAAAGUCCGAGCACCACAAGGCAGAGUGCUGGUUAACGACCAGUCAAGGUGACUUGAAGGAAAGUGCAACAGAAAUAUACCGCCAAUUUAUUGGUAAGGUUGAAAGGGCGAGGUAAGAGCUCACCGUCCUGAAGGUGACUUUAGGAGCCAUGUAAACCCCACUUGGUGCAAGAGAACGCGGCAAUUAGUAGCCUGCUAGCCGCUAAAUCGCUUGAGCGUAUUGGCAACAAUCCGCCUAGACAGAUGAUCAUCUAAUACAGAACUCGGCUUACAGACCAUCUUGU
rnacentral:RNase_P_RNA from 1 species